rnacentral:rRNA from 1 species
GACGUAGGGCGCGAGCGUUGUCCGGAUUUAUUGGGCGUAAAGAGCUCGUAGGCGGCUUGUCGCGUCGUCCGUGAAAACCCACAGCUCAACUGUGGGCUUGCGGUCGAUACGGGCAGGCUAGAGUUCGGUAGGGGAGACUGGAAUUCCUGGUAUAGCGGUGAAAUGCGCAGAUAUCAGGAGGAACACCGGUGGCGAAGGCGGAUCUCUGGGCCUUACCUGACGCUCAGGUGCGAAAGCUAGGGGAGCGAACAGG